UCAUUUCACGCGCUUACAGAACCCUAAAUCCCUCACUCUUUUCCUUCACGCUUCCUGAUUUCCCUUUGUUCUUCACCUUCAAGUCUAUGAAGUUCAAUCGAUUCUGAUUGGAUUUAAUAUGUUUCAUACCUGUUUAUUGUAGGUUUCACAUUCUAUGAAGAAAUCAUACAUCGUGAGUCAACGAUCCUGAGAUAGCAUCAUCAGCUCUCAAUCACACAAACCCUAAUCCUAAUCAUCAUCUACUCUCGGACAUCAUCAGGGUUCUUACAAGUCCAUCUCUGACAAUCAAAGUCGUGAAGACCAUCUCUGAUAUUAUAUUGUUAGUAUCCGGUUAAUUUGGGAUUAGGGAUUUUACAAGUUAUUGUUUAAAUUGAAACUAAUCUGGUGCAAGUCAGAAGUCAGAAGUAAUAAGGUUUGAUUUUUGUAAUUUCAUUUGUUCGAUCACUUUAAAAUUUUUAUGGUCUUCGUUAUUUUUUAAAAGUUGUUUUUUUGU